UACGGAGGGAGCUAGCGUUAUUCGGAAUUACUGGGCGUAAAGCGCACGUAGGCGGCUUUGUAAGUUAGAGGUGAAAGCCCAGGGCUUAACCCCUGGAAUUGCCUUUAAGACUGCAUCGCUUGAAUCGUGGAGAGGUGAGUGGAAUUCCGAGUGUAGAGGUGAAAUUCGUAGAUAUUCGGAAGAACACCAGUGGCGAAGGCGACUCACUGGACACGUAUUGACGCUGAGGUGCGAAAGCGUGGGGAGCAAACAGG
rnacentral:rRNA from 1 species